rnacentral:rRNA from 1 species
UACGUGAAACCGUUCAGGGGUAAACCUAAGAAACCCAAAAGAUCGAACGGGGAGAUUCAUCGUCAGCGGCGCUGGCUUCGCGUCGGUGGGCGAUGUCCCGCGGAGUCCUCGCGGCUCGCGCGCGGGCACGCUACCGUGCGUCGAUGUCCGGCGCUCGUCGUCGUGCACUUCUCCCCAAGUAGAACGUCGCGACCCGCUGGGUGUCGGUCUACGGCCCGGGUGCGGUGACUGUCGCGUCGCCGGUAAAACGGCACGCGACAAACCCCCGGUCGCCCGGCCGGCUGCUCGGCGGUACGCGCAUGGUAUCAGGCCGCACUAUUUUACGGUGCGUCGAGGCCGUCGCAAGCGCGCGCCACGGUACUCGGAGGUUACGGACUUUGCGCCGUCCCCGGUCCUGGUCCGCUGUUGGUUAAAGUACGGUUCACCUUCGACAGGCCUGCGAACGUCUCUCCCCGGAGAGACCGAUACCGGUCGGCGACGCUACUGCUUUGGGUACUCUUAGGACCCGUCUUGAAACACGGACCAAGGAGUCUAACAUGUACGCGAGUCAUUGGGACUUGUCGCGAGACCUAAAGGCGUAAUGAAAGUGAAGGUCGGCCCUGGCCGUCGACCGAGGGAGGAUGGGCCGCGUCGCGAUGCGGCCUCGCACUCCCGGGGCGUCUCGUUCUCAUCGCGAGAAGAGGCGCACCCAGAGCGUACACGUUGGGACCCGAAAGAUGGUGAACUAUGCCUGGUCAGGACGAAGUCAGGGGAAACCCUGAUGGAGGUCCGUAGCGAUUCUGACGUGCAAAUCGAUCGUCGGAACUGGGUAUAGGGGGCGAAAGACUAAUCGAACCAUC